rnacentral:rRNA from 1 species
GGACGAACGCUGGCGGCGUGCUUACCACAUGCAAGUCGAACGGUGAAGGGAUCAGCUUGCUGGUUCUGGAUGAGUGGCGAACGGGUGAGUAACACGUGAGUAACCUGCCCCCUUCUUCUGGAUAACCGCAUGAAAGUGUGGCUAAUACGGGAUAUUCUGCGCCUGCUGCAUGGUGGGUGUGGGAAAGAUAUUGUUUCGGUGGGGGAUGGGCUCGCGGCCUAUCAGCUUGUUGGUGGGGUGAUGGCCUACCAAGGCGGUGACGGGUAGCCGGCCUGAGAGGGUGGACGGUCACACUGGGACUGAGACACGGCCCAGACUCCUACGGGAGGCAGCAGUGGGGAAUAUUGCACAAUGGGCGCAAGCCUGAUGCAGCGACGCCGCGUGAGGGAUGGAGGCCUUCGGGUUGUGAACCUCUUUCGCCAGUGAAGCAGGCCUGUCCCUUGUGGGUGGGUUGACGGUAGCUGGAGAAGAAGCGCCGGCUAACUACGUG